rnacentral:tRNA from 1 species
GGGGAUUUAGCUCAGUGGUAGAGCGCUUGCCUAGCAAGCACAAGGCCCUGGGCUCAAUCCUCA